rnacentral:rRNA from 1 species
GAUUAUGGCUCAGGAUGAACGCUAGCUACAGGCUUAACACAUGCAAGUCGAGGGGCAGCAUUAUCGAAGCUUGCUUUGAUGGAUGGCGACCGGCGCACGGGUGAGUAACGCGUAUCCAACUUCCCCAUGGUAGGGCAUAGCCCGUAGAAAUGCGGAUUAAUACCCUAUGUAUUCCGAGGAUGACAUCUGAUUCGGAACAAAGGUUCACCGCUAUGGGAUGGGGAUGCGUCUGAUUAGGUAGUAGGCGGGGUAACGGCCCACCUAGCCGACGAUCAGUAGGGGUUCUGAGAGGAAGGUCCCCCACAUUGGAACUGAGACACGGUCCAAACUCCUACGGGAGGCAGCAGUGAGGAAUAUUGGUCAAUGGGCGAGAGCCUGAACCAGCCAAGUAAGCGUGCAGGACGACGGCCCUAUGGGUUGUAAACUGCUUUUAUACAGGGAUAAAGUCGGGGACGCGUUCCCCGUUUGCAGGUACUGUAUGAAUAAGGACCGGCUAAUUCCGUGCCAGCAGCGGC